GACAGAGGGUGCAAACGUUGUUCGGAAUUACUGGGCGUAAAGCGCGUGUAGGCUGCUUCGCAAGUCGGGUGUGAAAGCCCUGGGCUCAACCUAGGAAGUGCACUCGAAACUGCGAAGCUUGAGUCCUGGAGAGGAAGGCGGAAUUCUCGGUGUAGCGGUGAAAUGCGUAGAUAUCGGGAGGAACACCAGUGGCGAAGGCGAUCAUCUGGGGUUGUUCUGACGCUGAGGAGCGAAAGCCAGGGGAGCAAACGGG
rnacentral:rRNA from 1 species